GUCCACGCCGUAAACGAUGAAUGCUAGCCGUUGGGCAGCUUGCUGUUCAGUGGCGCAGCUAACGCAUUAAGCAUUCCGCCUGGGGAGUACGGCCGCAAGGUUGAAACUCAAAGGAAUUGACGGGGGCCCGCACAAGCGGUGGAGCAUGUGGUUUAAUUAGACGCAACGCGCAGAACCUUACCAGGGUUUGACAUCCUGCGACCACCCUCUAAUAGGGGUUUUCCCGCAAGGGACGCAGAGACAGGUGCUGCAUGGCUGUCGU
rnacentral:rRNA from 1 species